rnacentral:rRNA from 1 species
UAGGGAAUCUUCCGCAAUGGACGCAAGUCUGACGGAGCAACGCCGCGUGAGUGAAGAAGGAUUUCGGUUCGUAAAACUCUGUUGUUAGAGAAGAACAGCGCAUAGAGUAACUGUUAUGCGUGUGACGGUAUCUAACCAGAAAGGGACGGCUAACUACGUGCCAGCAGCCGCGGUAAUACGUAGGUCACGAGCGUUGUCCGGAUUUAUUGGGCGUAAAGCGAGCGCAGGCGGUUAGAUAAGUCUGAAGUUAAAGGCAGUGGCUCAACCAUUGUAGGCUUUGGAAACUGUUGUACUAGAGUGCAGAAGGGGAGAGUGGAAUUCCAUGUGUAGCGGUGAAAUGCGUAGAUAUAUGGAGGAACACCGGUGGCGAAGGCGACUCUCUGGUCUGUAACUGACGCUGAGGUUCGAAAGCGUGGGUAGCAAACAGG